CCAGUGCCCCGAGAGCAAACCUGCAUCCACUCAGCCUGCCUGAUGAGGAUUUUCCAGCUCUGUCCUGCAGGGAAAGCAGAGGGAAAUCGUUUGGCUGAGGCAGCCUCGAGGGUGGGUGCAUCCCACAAGCAAGCUCCUCCUUGAAAAAUUGGAAUAAAUGGAUAUCCUUGAUGCUGUCCCUCAGCACAGGAUGGAUCCUUUGCCACAGCCAGGGCAGCUCCUCUGCCCUCAGGAAAAUAUUUCAUCUGCACUAAGAACCUGGCAGCCUCAGGACGGCUUGGAAGAACAUCAAAUCCCCCAAAGAGGAGACACAGAGCUCCAGCCCUUCCCCAGCG